UACGUAGGAUGCAAGCGUUGUCCGGAAUUAUUGGGCGUAAAGAGUUCGUAGGCGGUUAUCUAAGUCUGGUGUUAAAGCCCGAAGCUCAACUUCGGCAUGGCAUUGGAAACUGGGUAGCUAGAGUGUGGUAGAGGUAUCGGGAAUUCCUGGUGUAGCGGUGAAAUGCGUAGAUAUCAGGAGGAACACCGGCGGCGAAAGCGCGAUACUGGGCCAUAACUGACGCUGAGGAACGAAAGCCAGGGGAGCGAAAGGG
rnacentral:rRNA from 1 species